rnacentral:rRNA from 1 species
UAAUGUAUGGGGAUCUGCCCGAUAGAGGGGGGUAACUACUGGAAACGGUGGCUAAUACCGCAUAAUGUCUACGGACCAAAGCAGGGGCUCUUCGGACCUUGCACUAUCGGAUGAACCCAUAUGGGAUUAGCUAGUAGGUGGGGGAAGGGCUCACCUAGGCGACGAUCUCUAGCUGGUCUGAGAGGAUGAUCAGCCACACUGGGACUGAGACACGGCCCAG